AAGGAUCAUUAUUGAAAUAAACCUGAUAAGUUGCUGCUGGUUCUCUAGGGAGCAAUGUGCACACUUGUCAUCUUUGUAUCUUCACCUGUGCACCUUUUGUAGACCUGAUGAUCUCUCUGAAUGCUUAUAGCACUCAGGAUUGAGAAUUGACUUCUUGUCUCUUCUUAUAUUUUCAGGUCUAUGUUUCUUCAUAUACCCUAAUGUAUGUUUAUAGAAUGUAAUUAAUGGGCCUUUGUGCCUAUAAACUUUUACAACUUUCAGCAACGGAUCUCUUGGCUCUC
rnacentral:misc_RNA from 1 species